CAGAAUUCUAUAAACCUGAAGAGUAAUCUUUUAGAAAAAUCAUCAGAAGGAAGGAAUUUGUAGAAAUAAAACUGGAAACAUUCAGAAUCUUAAUGGUGUGCCAAACCUAAUGUCAACUGUAGCUCGACCAAAAACUAAGGAGUCAGGUGCUGCUCUGCAUGGCUGGUUUCUAUUUUUGCAUCACGCAGGAAGAUCUUUGUAACACGUCGCUGAAGACAGAUCCCUGCCUCUGUGACUAUAGAGUGAGGUGCUCUCUGACAAACAAAGCAAAGAGAGAGCAGGUAAGUCUCUUUGAUGAAGUCUGUUUUACUAUUUAUCUAUAAAAGUUGUUUGAAGAGCCUUGCCUAGUCACUAUAAAUUUAAGCAUGCCACAAGUCUUGCUGAAUAAUUGAUAGUCACAGUAUGAUGUUAAAUUAGAGUAUAUUCUACGUCUUGAAAACUGGAUCAGUCCACUCAGUUUUUCCCUGGUACUCGUGCAGCCAUAUUGUGGGUUUAAUUCCUGU